GGUGGGUUGGUAGAGUAUACCAAGGGGCGCGAGAUAACUCUCUCUAAGGAACUCGGCAAAAUGACCCCGUAACUUCGGGAGAAGGGGUGCCAAGUAACUUAAAUUGCUUGGUCGCAGUGACCAGGCCCUGGCGACUGUUUAUCAAAAACACAGGUCUCCGCAAAGUCGUAAGACAACAUAUGGGGGCUGACGCCUGCCCAGUGCCGGAAGGUUAAAGAAGUUGGUUAUUCAUUUUUGGAGAAGCUGACGACUGAAGCCCCGGUGAACGGCGGCCGUAACGAUAACGGUCCUAAGGUAGCGAAAUUCCUUGUCGGGUAAGUUCCGACCCGCACGAAAGGCGUAACGAUCAGGGCACUGUCUCGGAGAGAGACUCGGUGAAAUAGACAUGUCUGUGAAGAUGCGGACUACCUGCACCUGGACAGAAAGACCCUAUGAAGCUUGACUGUAGCUUGGAAUUGGGUUCGGGCUCUUCUUGCGCAGCCUAGGUGGGAGGCGUUGAAAGCUUUCUUUUGGGAAAGCUGGAGCCAUCAGUGAGAGACCACUCUGGAGGAGCUAGAAUUCUAAUGGCGUUCCUUGAAGCAGGACGCUUGACAGUUUCAGGUGGGCAGUUUGACUGGGGCGGUCACCUCCUAAAAGGUAACGGAGGUGUGCAAAGGUUCCCUCAGGCUGGACGGAAAUCAGCCGUAGAGUGUAAAGGCAGAAGGGAGCUUGACUGCAAGACCUACAAGUCGAGCAGGGGCGAAAGCCGGCCUUAGUGAUCCGACGGUUCCAUGUGGAAGGGCCGUCGCUCAACGGAUAAAAGUUACUCUAGGAUAACAGGCUGAUCUUCCCCAAGAGUUCACAUCGACGGGAAGGUUUGGCACCUCGAUGUCGGCUCAUCGCAACCUGGGGCGGUAGUACGUCCCAAGGGUUGGGCUGUUCGCCCAUGAAAGCGGUACGUGAGCUGGGUUCAGAACGUCGUGAGACAGUUCGGUCCAUAUCCGGUGUAGGCGCUAGAGCAUUGAGAGGAGCCUUCCAUAGUACGAGAGGACCUGGAAGGACGCACCUCUGGUAUACCAGUUAUCAUGCCAAUGGUACACGCUGGGUAGCCAUGUGCGGAGUGGAUAACCGCUGAAAGCAUCUAAGUGGGAAGCCCACCUCAAGAUGAGUGCUCUCCAUUAGGUCACAGGAAGACAACCUGUUUGAUAGGCAGAAGGUGUAAGGCCAGUAAUGGUUUCAGCUGAUCUGUACUAAUAGACCGAUUGAUUUUGACC
rnacentral:rRNA from 1 species